CCCUUAGAUGUCCUGGGCCGCACGCGUGCUACACUGACGCCUACAGCGAGCACUUUCCAGCCCCGAGAGGCGGCUGGUAAUCGGCAAUAGGCGUCGUGAUGGGGAUAGAUCUUUGGAAUUAUGGAUCUUGAACGAGGAAUGCCUAGUAAGCGCAGGUCAUUAGCCUGCGCUGAUUAAGUCCCUGCCCUUUGUACACACCGCCCGUCGCUCCUACCGAUUUCGAGUGGUCCGGUGAAUCUUUCGGACUGCGCGCGGCCUUGAGUCGUGUCGCGGAAAGUCAGGUAAACCUUAUCACUUAGAGGAAGGGGAAGUCGUAACA
rnacentral:rRNA from 1 species